AAUAUGUAAUUGAAUUUAGUAAUUAUUUUUCAGAAAUACAACCAGAAUAAAGAGUAGGUAACCAAAUAUAAGUGACUUGUGAUCAUCAUAUCACUGACCUGGUGGGAGAUAAGUUUCUAGCAUGCUAGAGAGACAAGGACAAUAGCACUGGACAUUCUCUGUGCCAGGGACAUGACUCCAUCUUUUGCAAAAUGAAUAGAAGCUAUCAGUUCCAUCAGAUCAGUUAGGUGAAGCUUCAGUUAAGUCUACUAGUCAAUGGAUUCAGGUAGCAUUUAUUGGGUUCUUUGCAAUAAUAAUAUUUUUUCACCCAAUUAAAUGUUCAGUGGCAUUUCCAAGUGCAUUUACUUAUAUUAUCAGACUUUACUGGUAUCCCUAUGAGUGAGACCUUUUUUUCCUUUUGACAGAUGAGGCAGUUUUCACACAGGUUGAAGUGACUUCCCUAAGGUCAUAUAGCUUGAACUUAAUACGAGUGAAGGACUAGAACCCUAGUCCAGUCUGACCCAAGUUCAGGACUCUUUUUGCUCCUUAGUGCUCUCUAUCCAAACCAGGCUAAAUGAACUCCAAAGACCCGUUUAGCUUUACCACGCUCUGAUUCUGUGAUAUAUUAGCAAUAUCCUGCUUACAUCAUCCAUUCUACAGCUACGAGCUUCUAUCCCUCUAUGGCUCUGUGGCCACUGGCUUGACGUGGAGGGGAGAAGGAGAUUAAGUAGAGGGGCCAAUUAGUUUUGGACUGGUUGGUAAAUGUUUCACAACAUCUUUGAGUUUGUCCCUCUCUCCUUUGAUGAAUGGCUCUUGCCUCUUUUUGACAGAUUGAUCUUGAGUGCUGGGUAUUUUUCGCUCACCACAUUAGCUGCCAGUUUUCCAGGCUAUCCCCCCAGGACUGAGAUGAGGUGAGAGGUGGUUCAAUGAACGAGACAGAAAAUAUCAAUUAUUGAUGAGAAUAUGGAGCACUUGGAGUUCUUAUACACUGCUAGCUGGAGUGCCAAAUGAGUACAAGCUACUCUGCCAGUACCCUGCAAGCUGAACCUAAUCAACGAGUUGGCAAGUCUACUCCUAGGGGAAGCCUGCUGCCAGGUCACGUAGCCCCGUGGAGACGCCUGCAUGGUGAGGAACUGAGGCCUGCCCAAAACCACAGGAAUGAUCUUGGAUGUGAAUCUUCCAGCCCCAGAUGAAAACAUUGAAACUAAAGAAUGAAACACGUGCUGGUCAAAGUCACAGCUCUCUGAAGUAUCAGAGCUGCAACUUGAACCCAGUCUGUCUGGAUAAUUCCAGUAAGCCAGGCUCAGUCAAAACUUGAGGCAGGGGAAACAAAAGCAAAAAUGACUAUUGGGACCUCAUCAAGAUAAAACCUUCUGCACAGUGAUGGAAAUAAUCAACAAAACCAAAAGGUAACCGACGGGAUGGGAGAAGAUGACAUAUUGGAUAAAGGGUGGAAAUUCAGAGAUGAAAAGGCCAAGUUUCCUGUCCUCAAGAAAUUGCUGGUGUGAUCAGGUCGAGUUGUAAAAAUAUGAUCCACCAAGAACCAAGAUCCCCUGGAGAGGAAGCCAAUUUGCAGCCCUAAAAAGAAGCUAAAAUUGAACGCAUAUUAUAAUUCAGUGCAUUAUUGAAUGCAUGUAACGAGGAAAACCACGUUCAGAAAUGCGAGCCAAUUUGACUCAGAAUCCAUCAAGCCAUAUUACCACCAACCUCCAUGUCGUCCGACAAGCAUUUGAGUGGCUUCCCUGUACAAAAGAGAGAGGGAGAAAGAGAGAAUCCCAAGCAGGCUCCACGCUCAGCAGGGAGCCUGACAUGGGGCUCGAUCCCAAGACCCUGGGAUCAUGACCUGAGUCAAAAUCAAGAGUUGGACAGUCUACCGACUGAGCCAUCCAGGCAUCCCUAAGAGAUGUCUGUCAUUGUGAAAUUGGAAGCUCUAAUCUCUGCUUUCCGGGUCUAUAUUACACCGUGCCCUCUUUCCCCCGACAUGUGCCUGGAGACCCAAGUAUCAGAAAUCUUCCUAGAUGAUGCCAGCCUAUACUGAGAAAGGAUUCCUGUUGGAGCCAUUCCAAAUCCCAUUUCUCAGAGGACAAAGUAGAGACUCUGCUACUCUCUGAACACCCCUCUUACUGAGAACUGGCAACACCUAAUGUGGACAGAAGAAAGCUUACAUCCUUUGGAGGCAGCGCUGGAGUCUAGAAUUCGGAGAUCACAAACGUGGGUAAUGGAUAUCGAGGGCCAGUAGGUCAUCUUAUAUUGCUGAAAAAAGG